rnacentral:rRNA from 1 species
GCACAAGCGGAGGAACAUGUGGUUAAUUCGAUGAUACGCGAGGAACCUUACCUGGGCUUAAAUGUAGAGUGCAUUUUUUAGAGAUAGAAAUUCCCUUCGGGGCUUUCUGCAAGGUGCUGCAUGGUUGUCGUCAGCUCGUGCCGUGAGGUGUCGGGUUAAGUCCCAUAACGAGCGCAACCCUUAUCGUUAGUUGCCAUCUGGUAAUGCAGGGGACUCUAGCGAAACUGCCACCGUAAGGUGAGAGGAAGUGGGAUGACGUCAAAUCAGCACGGCCCUUAUGUCCAGGGCUACACACGUGUUACAAUGGUCGGUACAGAGGGCAGCUACCUGGUGACAGGAUGCUAAUCUCGAAAACCGGUCUCAGUUCGGAUCGAAGUCUGCAACUCGACUUCGUGAAGCUGGAUUCGCUAGUAGUCGCGCAUCAGCUAUGGCGCGGUGAAUACGUUCCCGGGCCUU